UAGCAAUACGCUUCGUUGCGGCAGUCCGUGAGAACUUCUCAGAAGCUUCUAAAACUUGAAGACUAACGGCAGCACUCAGGUUCUCUUCCCAAAGUUCCAGCUUUUGCCUUAAGAUUGGAUGCAAGGAUUCCCUUAAUGCUAGUGCUGAAGCUCCAAUUCUGGAGGACUGGGCUUGAGCUAGGGCUUCUCUCAAAGAAUAUGGCUGACUAGGCGAGCUUAAUUGGGAGUUAACCCGCUGCCACAAAUAACCAUUAUCCGGAGUUCCUCUGACUUCUUGCCUUGCUGCCUCAGACAUAUACUGGUUAAUUGCAGGUGAAAGUCUGUCAGAAUAUUUUGGGGAUGCAGGUCCUUCCCCAAUCACACUACGAGAACUACUACCAACAAGCAUGCCAUCAG
rnacentral:misc_RNA from 1 species